CUAGCUUUGGUGUUGUUCUUUCUUACAAAAUCAAGUUAGUUAAAGUUCCUAAAAUAGUAACUGUUUUUCAAAUUAGAAAAACUUUGGACCAAAAUGCAAGUGACAUAGUUUAUAAUUGGCAACAUGUAGCACCAACUAUUGAUAAUGACCUAUUCAUUAGGCUUAUUAUUGAUGUUGUAAAUGUUACACAAAAUGCUACAAACAAUGGUGCAAAGACUAUUAGGGCUACUUUUAUAUCUUUAUUCCUUGGUGAUUCAAAAACUCUUGUUUCACUAAUGAAUGAAAAAUUUCCUCAAUUAGGUUUGAAGGAAAGUGAUUGCAUUGAAACAAGUUGGCUUCAAUCGGUUUUGUUUUGGACUAAUAUCGAUAUUACAACACCGGUCGAGAUUUUGCUUAAUAGAAAACCACAAUCAUUAGUGAAUUAUUUGAAAAGAAAAUCGGAUUAUGUAAAGGAACCGAUUUCGAGUAAGGGUUUGGAAGGGAUUUGGAAGAAAAUGAUUGAGUUGGAAGAUGCAAUAUUAUAUUUCAAUCCAUAUGGUGGAAAAAUGGCUGAGAUUUCAUCAACAGAUACACCUUUCCCUCAUAGAGCUGGAAAUUUAUGGAAGGUUCAAUAUCAAGCAAAUUGGAACAAAGCAGGUAAAGAUGUUGCUGAUCAUUACAUAGGUUUGACUAGAAAACUUCACAGAUAUAUGACUCCUUUUGUGUCCAAGAAUCCAAGAGAGGCUUUUUUUAAUUAUAAGGAUCUUGAUUUGGGAAUUAAUCAUAAUGGUAAGAAUAGUUAUGCUGAAGGAAGAGUUUAUGGAGUUGAGUAUUUUAAGGAUAAUUUUGAUAGAUUGGUGGAAAUUAAGACAAAAGUUGAUCCUGACAAUUUCUUUAGGAAUGAACAAAGCAUCCCUACUCUUCCUCAUAGAAAGAAUUAGAAAGAUGGUGACUUUGUUAAUUUCAAGUUAAUAUUGUUUGCAUGUUAUUUAGUAAUAAGUUUGAGUGUGGAAAAUAAAACCGAGUGUUGAAUACUAGUUAAUUAGUUGUUACUUGUAAUGUUAGUUUGUUUGGUUUGAUAAUGAAUAAAAUAAAAUUUACUUAUUGUUUGGGUCUAAGAUUUAAAUUCUAACUACUAAAGUUUGUUUCUUUAUUCUGUUAUAUAUCUUGUAUUUUCUCUAAAUUAUUUUUCACUCUAGACUAGAUAUGUUCUAUGACGCUUGGCUGCAAACUUAAUUAUUAUUGGUUGUACAUUAAAAUUAAAAGUCAUAUCAUCAUCUUAUAAGAAAUAAUGGGGGUUUCAAUUUCAUCCGGUGGCGGAGCUAAAAAAAAAAAAGUUAAUCGUUAAAAAAUUGUUUAAAGUCUCACAAAAUAGAUCUAUAAUUGAAUUAUUUAAAUUUUUCUGGUGGGCCAAUACACCACUUUGCGGGAAUUUGGAUCAACCGAAAUCUAAAACCGACAUAAAAUUGUAUAAAACCUCGCAAAAUAGACCUAUAAUUGAAUUAUUUAAAUUUUUUGGGUGGGCCACUACACCACUUUACGAGAAUUUGGAUCAACCAAAAUCUAAAACCGACACAAAAUUGUAUAAAAUCUCGCAAAAUAGACUUAUAAUCGUUAAUUUUUAAAUUUUUUCGGAUGGACCACGCCGCUGAUUUCAUCCAUGCAUACUAUAGCCAAAACAAGCAAGUCUUCUAGAGGGUUAUCUUGAUUGACUAAAUCCAAUAUCAGAAGAAUAUCAGAAGUCAAUUUAUGUAACCAAUAAAGGGAGGCAAACCCUGUUUUUCUUUUAACAAUAAAUAUUAAGAGAUUAUCUUCAAAAAAUACAUAUUAAGAUAUUAACAAUACAUAUUAAAGUUCAAUAUUUUCAAUUAGAGUUCUAUGUUAUACGGAAAUAAUUUAAUUAUGGACAUUUUAAACAUAUCUACAACCUCUUUAAAAAAAUAAUCAUAUCUACUACUAAUAAUUUUUUUAUAAAAAAAUAACAAUUUUUUCACGAAAUGCAUACUUUAUUUUAUAUUUAAAACUUUAAUCCUUGUUCUGUCAAAGAAAAAGAAAAACAUCAACCCAAUAUAUGAACGAUAAUAUAUAAUUAAUUAUAUGUUAAAUUUAAAAUAACAAUGAAGAAGAAUAAAUUAUUGUGUUGUAAAUAUAGCUCAGUUGAUAAAGACAUUAAAUCAUAUAUGUGCAAAGGACAAGGUUGAAACCUAAGAUUUUUCACUUAUUAACCUAAAAAAGGGAAUUUAUAGCUACAUUAUUUGAUGAAUAAAUGGAAACAUUAUUUUAUUCAUUUAUGGCAAGGUUUUUUUUAUGUUUGAUCUCAACCAAGAACGAUGAAUAUAAACCAAUUAUCCGAACAUUCAUUUCAGCUUUUAGGCUAUUUUUUAAAUGUGCGGGUAAAUCGUUCAGUGGUACGGAGUCAAAUGCUGCAAAAUACAUUUUUAAUCGAAAUUUUUAACAAAAAACUCGAUAUAAUAGUUCCAAUUAUUCCUCUGAUUAGAUCGUUGGCUAAAGCGAAAUUUUGUAAUGUAUUAGGGCAUCCUAUUAGUAAGCCGGUCUGGGCCGAUUCAUCCGAUUUUGAUAUUAUUGACCGAUUUUUGCGAAUAUGCAGAAAUCUUUCUCAUUAUUACAAUGGAUCCUCAAAAAAAAAAAGUUUGUAUCGAAUAAAAUAUAUACUUCGGCUUUCUUGUAUUAAAACUUUGGCUUGUAAACACAAAAGUACUGUACGCGCUUUUUUGAAAAGAUCAGGUUCAGAAGAAUUAUUGGAAGAAUUCUUUACAGAGGAAGAAGAGAUUCUUUCUUUGAUUAUACUUGACAAAAAAAUUAUUAAUAACUAUGAUAUUAAUUAAUAGUUAUUUUACAAUUGUCACACAUGGGGUUUGAACUUCUUUUCUGAGAUUACCAAGUCAAGUUCUUGUCACCAAGUUGACACAUCAUGAACAAAUUAUAAGUUAAAUAAAUUUAUUAUGACUUUGCAUAUAAUUAUAAAAAAAAUAUUAGCUCUCAUCAAAUCAUUAAGGCUUUCAACAAUUGAUAAAAGAAUUAAUUAUUUUUAAUUAUACUAUAUAAAAUAUUCAUAUAGUUUAGUAGCAGAAUUUUCUAACAAAUUUUAAUUCUAUUUUUAAUAGAGACUACUCAUAUAUGUAUUACUUUUCAAUGAUAGCUUUUAAUAAAUAAAUUAGUAAAAAAUUUCGUUUAAAUUAGGAAGAAAAAAAAAAGAUAAAAUUGGGAUAAAAAAGAGGCAAUAUUAAAAGACUAUUAUUCAUUGUUUUUUUUUUUUAAAGAAAAGACUACUAUUCAUAUUACUUUCAAAUUUGGUAAUACAUCAAUAGAAAGUAAUUUCGUCAAAAAAAUAGUUUUACCAUAUAAAUAUUCAGCAAUGAAUUGACAUAAGAAAUUUCUUAAUAAUUUAUUGUCUAAACACAUAGGUCUCACAAGCUGUCUUUCUAAAAAAAUAAAAAAUACUCAUUUUAUGGUACUACUACUACUAGGGAUGAAAAUAUGAUAGGUCGAUCUACGCUUUACAAGACCUAAACCUGCUUUGGUUAAAAAAGUUCAAGAUGCAAACCUUUCAAAUUUGCCAAUACAUAAAUAGAAACUUUUAUCAUGUAAAUUGGUCAAAAGAAACCAUUUUUUACUAUAUAAUUUUUUUUUUUGUUUUUGACAAAAAUAAAUGAUAUUCAUUUAUCCAAAUUGAUAGAGUACAUCGAUACAAUACAAAUUCAAUUUCGCUAAAAACAAAAAGGAUGAAUCUGUGAACUAACUCACAACAUCCAUGUUAAUAGCAUAAAACGGCAAAGUACUUAUGCCUACAAAUAUGACUAAUAUGACUAGUCUCCAGAAUACUCAUGUCUUCGGAUAUGCAACGUUGACGACGCUAAGGUCAUUGUCACUGAUCGGAUCUGCACUUGCUCAAUACUAAUCUUUCAACCUAAUCAAAUAAACAACGCACUAAGACGGGAAAUCAAAAACACACCGCACAAAGACGAGAAAUCAAAACAAACAGAGUCGUUCAGAGACGAAGAAAUUACAAAAAUCAACGAAAGAAAACAAAAAAUAUGUGAAAUCACUUAUUCAAUUAGGAUAGAAAGGAAAAACAAUUCGGAGGGGUGAUUUUUGGGUCAAAAUUGACCCUAAAUCACCCCUCUGAAAAGAAGAAGAAGAAGAAGAAGAAGAAGAAGAAAGAGGUAAUGACUAGGGUUUGAGAAGGAAAGAAGAGAGAGAGGUUUUACCAUAUAAAUAUUCAUCAAACUGAAAGAAUCAAACUGAAACAACAAUCCAGAUUCGAAAUCGGAUCUAAUCUAGAUUUAUGAACAACUAGAAAUUUAUAACAACAAGAAUCAAAAUGAAACAACAAUCCAUAUUCGGAAUCAGAUCUAAUCCAAAUUCUUUUGAACAACAAGAAAUUUAUAACAGCAAGAAUCAAACUGAAACAACAAUCCAGAUUCGGAAUCGGAUCUAAUCCAGAUUCUUAUGAACAACAAGAAAUUUAUAACAACAAGAAUCUGAAUCGGAUCCAAUCCAGAUACGGAAUGAUGGAUUUUGAUGAAGAUUCAGUUCUUGAUGAAGGUUCACGCGUACAAAUUCUUCAAUCCAUAUUUUGAAUCAAACUUGUAUGGACGAGAGAAGAGAAAGAAGAAGAAGAGAGAAAAAGAGGAGAUAAGGAUGAUCUUGUUUCUACUUCAACAAAAGGAUGAUGGUGAUGAUGCAGAAAAAAUAAAAUCAAUUGUAAUUUUUGUGUUUUGUUGUUAUGUGAUGUUGAAUCUAAUGAAGUUUUUUUUCUUGUGCCUCUUCUAGUUUCUUCUUUUUUUUUUUUUUUUAAUUCAGCAAUAAAUACACAAAUGGCUUUUUUUCUUUUUUUAAUUAGUUUAUUACACGCGUCGCAUGCCACUCAGUAUUGACUGAGUCAAAAUUGGCAAAAAUGAUCAAAAUUGCAAAAGAGCUAAUUCUUAGGGGGGCAAAAUUAUAUUUUUGUACUUAGGAGACCAAAAUUGCAAGUUUUUGAAAGUUAGGGGUGGAAAAGUGCACUUUAGCCUAAAAUUUUCUCUGAGAUUGACGGACUAGGAUAGGGGUUCUCUAAUGUGCCAACCUAGUUGCGAUAUCGUUUCUUCCCCUUGAUGCCUCACCAAUCUCCUUGCUUAGCAAAAAAAAAAACUUUUAUAAAGGUUGUAUUUUCUCUAGAAAAUAUAUCAAACUAGACUUAAUAUGUUUCAUGAAGUUUUGCUAAGCACUUAAUUAUUGUUUUUUUUAGCAAGAAUACAAGUUUUUAUUUGAUUGGAGAAAAACUUAUUACAUUUCAUUCAAUAUAAGAUUCUCAAUAGGAUGAAAUGUAAUGAUAAGACUUAUGAUUAGAACCAUAACGAGAUUCUCUUGUUAUAUUAUGAGCAACUCUAUACCCUAAGAUUGUUCAAAACUACAAUGCCAAGCUCAUUAUGACAAAAUUACUGAAGUCUUGUUCAAUUACUGAAGUCUUCGCACCAUAUAGCACUACUGAAUUAUUAAAGUUUUGUUCAUGCAGCCAUAACAGAGCUGGCCACAAGCCUCGGCUUCAGCAGCUCAUGGAUUUCCCUGCGAAAUGAGCACACCGCGCCUGGAGAAAUUCACCGCCAUCGUUCUUCAGACGUAAACCAUACACGAAGCAGUUCUAAUCAAUGAACAGUUUCACAUCAGUAUUACAUUUUAGCAUACCUAUACCGGGUUUCCUCCAUGUGUCUGAAACUUUGCUUGUGUUCCAAUCUUCCUAUGAUAUUAUGUCUAAUAAUAUUGACUUUAUGUCUGGUAAUAUUAGAAGUCAAUGAUCACCUACAAUCAUACAAUCGAGCAAGAAUAUGACAAUUAGAGUGAUAAUAAUAGAAAUAAGAUUAAUAUUGUAGUGAGAAUAGGGAGCUCAGACAGUCAGACAUAAUUAAAAACAUGCGGUGAAUUUGAAAGAUGAAGAAAGUACCUAUCAUUCCAAAAAUUAGCCUUGUGUUAUGAUUUUAGCGUUUUUUUCUUAUAUUUCAAAAUUUAUAAGUCCCACGUAGGAUAGUUUCAGAAUUUUGAAGUCUUUAUAUACGGACAUAUAAUACAAACAUGCUAUAAUACUGAAAUAGGGAAUGCUCUUUCUCAAUUAUUGUUGGAAUUAUAAAAUUUAAUAUAAUGUAAUGUUCCGACCACGAUGAGGUAGAGAAAUUCUUUUUAAUAAAAAUACAGAGGAUGAGGUGCAUUUAGCACAUGGUGGUUUGGGAUGUCAGCAUAAUUGAGAUUUUAAAACAUUUUAUCAUGGUAAUCUGGGGUGCCAACAUAGUUGAGAAAGGGAAUAGAUUCCCUCCAUUGGAAUUCUUUCCUUUUUUCUCAAUUGUUGCAUCUAAACCAUCAAACAUUAGGGAUAAAAGGAGAGAUAAAAUUAUAAAGAAAAAGGGAAAUUGAAUUUGAUGGUUGAGAUGCAAUAGUCAAGAAAAAUGGAGAGAAUUCCAAUGGAGAUUAUUCAUUCACGUUGAGAAGUUAACCCCCUUAAUUAAUGUGGGUUUCAUUCAUCGUUUAUCACGUGAAAAUUAUGAAGUAUUAUUUAAUGGGUCCUUUUCUCAAACUCUGCCUAAGUCCUAUAAAAUGAUAGGAAUGACCCUGCCUCCAUCUUAACUUUCACAAUAUUCACCCUUUGUGAUCCUCUUUCGAGCAACCACUGAAACCCCGGUCCUACACAAUCCAUACAUAACAAACCCCGACAUAAUCAGCAUUGAAGACACUUUAACGACUCCUGGUCUUGAUUCUAGAAAAUGACCAAACCCAAGAUCUUCAAAUCACAAUUGUAACAUAUUCGAAUCCAUCCCACAAGGAAAGAAAGACCCUCAGCAUCGAACAACGAGCACAAUCCCAAAUCCACAUAAACACAGUCCCAAAUCUAAAUCGUGACUGCAACAAACACUACAAAAAAUCAUGGAUUUUGGCAAAGAUUACUAACGAUUUAAAGCCCGUGGUAAUUUCCAGCUGUAAUAUUGACAUUAGUGGCGGUCAAGACCGGCAUAAACGUGUUUGAAAAAAAUCAUUUUUUUCAUGUCUCUUCCGAUGAUUUUUUUUUCUCUUUAAAAUCCGGCGUUUUUUCAACUUCCUACGGCUAGUUAUGGUAGUUAGUAUUGUUGAUAUUUUUUUUUUUUUGGUUAAGAGUAUUAUUGGUAUUUUAAAUGUGAGUAUUAUUGGUUUCUGUUGUUGUUAAGAGUAUUAUUAUUGGUAUUUUAAGUGUAAGAAAGAGUUUCAAACUGGAUGAGAAAUAGAUGUUGAACACUAUAUAUAAACAAGAGAAUUCAUAAACUGAAUAAUUUUAAAAUUAUAUUUAGAUAUGUAGUAUCAAACUCACCAAUGUGAUUUUUUUUAUUUUUAAAACUCGGUAUCCGAUCCAAGAAUCGACUAAUCCGAGGGGACCAAUCCCACCGCCCACUUGCGGGGGUCCCGUUUAAAGCCAGAGCAAGCUCUGUAUGGACUUAACCCACCAAAAUUGGCACCAUAGGGAAUUGAACCUGAGACCUCUGGAGGAGCAAACUCCAAGAUCCCAAGCCAACCACUAGACCAACCCCAAAUGGGUUAACUCACCAAUGUGAUUGUUCAAAGUUUAGUAUUUUAUGACCCAACAAGUUUAACCGACCUUUACAUUUGAUUAUAGGGAAAUGUUAACUUGUGCCUUUAGGGCACAUGUUAAGGAUUACACUAAUAAUUUCUCGAAAAUUGCGUUAAUUUAUUGUUCAAAAAAUUUAAUAUUAAUUUUUUUUCAAUUAAUACUUAUCAUUAGUGGCAAGAAUUUAAUGCUUAACAUGUGUCCUAAAGGCACAAUUUAACAUGACCCUUGAUUAUAAUAUUUAAUUACUCGAUAAUUCUUGGUUAGUCAUAAGUGCAAAUCUAAUCACAUAAAUACAAACACAUAAAAGAAAAAGAACAAAUUAUUUAUUCUCUUUCUACCUUUUUCUAUUUGUUUUUUUAUUUUUUGAGGGAACCUUUUUCUAUUUGUGCCAUGUGUGAAUAUGCAUAAAUACUUUACAUUUAGACUUGUGACGACGCAAGUCUUGCUCUUAAAUACUUGCAACAAACACUAAUAGUUAACUUAAAUUAACAAUUAAUUACAGAUAAUUAUGAAUUAUUUUUAUUCAAAAUCAUAAUUUAUGUCCCCAAACAUAACUUAUAAAGGCUGUCAUUAAUUAUAACAUUUUUUUUAUUUAGUAAAUUACACUUCUCUCUCUUCAAAGAUGCUUGAAUUACACUCAUCUCCCUUAAAAAAUAAAAUUUACACUCCCCUCCCUUAUAAGAUGCUUGAAUUACAACCUCCUCCCUUAAUAAUUAAAUAUGCACUACACUUUAAUCUAUUUUAACAUAAAUAAAUAUUUUUAUGAUAUAUAUUAAUUUUGAACCAUCAUUUAAGAAAAAUUAAUUCAUUUUUAUAAUUUAAAUGUCAAUGAUAAUAAUUAAAUUUAAAUAUUUUGCUAUUGAUUUUAUAAUUUAGAGUAUAAAAUUAACUUUUAAAUAAACAUGCUUUAUUAUCUUUAGUAAUUUUUUACAUAUUUUAAUUUUAUUUUGGGUUGUUUCAUAUUUUAUAAUAGAGUUUAAAACUACUGUUAAUAAAAUUGUGAAUAAAAAAUAGGAAAAAAUAUGUAUUCAAUUUUUUAUUAUAUUAAAAUAGACCCGCAAUACUAUUUUUUUGAAGUGUGCUAGAUUAUUAUUUUUUUAUAAGAUUAUUAUACAAAAAAAAAAAUAUUGAGGGAGUAAAGUGCAGAUCCGAUCAAUGACAAUGACUUUGGCGUCGUCAACGUUGCAGAUCUGGAGACAUGAGUAUUCCAGAGACAUGAAUAUAGUCAUAUUAGACAUAUUUGUAGGCAUAAGUACUUUUCCAUUUUAUGCUAUUAACAUGGGUGUUGUGAGUUUAUUCACAGAUUCAUCCUUUUUGUUUUUUGCGAAUUUGAAUUUGUAUUAUAUCGACGUACUCUAUCGAUUUGAAUGAAUGAAUAUCGUUUACUUUUGUCAAAACAAAAAAAAAACAUAAGAGGGUAGGGGGAAUGCAAUUCAAAUUCUUUUAGGUGAGGAGAGUGAAAAGUUUUCUCAUAUGUUUUAAAUAAGAGGGGAUGGAAGUGUAUAUUUUAACAUAAAAGGAGAGAUGAGUAUAAUUCAAACAUCUUUAAGGGGAGGAGAAUGUAAUUUACUCUUUAAUUUUUGACAAUAAUGUAGUCAGGGCAGACCCAGUAAAUAUUGAGGUGCAAGGCAAAUUUUUAAUGAGUGUUUUUUAAUUUUUAAAAAUUUGCCUUUUUUUUUUUAAGGAAAAAAUUUUGCCUUUUUUUAUUGAACUGAAUUUCUAGGUUCCUUGUAAUUCAUGAUGAUGGGGUCACUGUAAUGUUUUGAAUUAGAGACAAAUAGAAUGGAAUUUCGGAAAAACAAAAUAGAGGUUAAAGUCAAUGUUUUCAUAUAUGCACUUUGUGUACUACUUUAUAGUCACGUUUUCAUAUAUGCACUUUGUAUAAUCUUUCACAUUUAGUCUCCAAAACUUUAUGAACCGAGUUCUUUUAGAUAGCAUGUUAAAGUCAAUGUUUCUUCUUUUUUUGACUGCACGUAAGUUUACGUAACAUAUCCUUCAAAAAAAAAAGAAGAAGUUUACGUAACAUAUGAGGAUUAACCAAACAUUGAGAAGCUUUUUUCUAACAAAAAAUGUUAUGCCCCUAAAAGAAAAAGUUUGAAAUAUGGUUUUAGUCAAUGCGAAUAUGUCUCGUUUUGGUUUUAGUUUAUGUAAAAAAAUUGCAGUUUUUGGUCCUUGCAAAUUUUUUUGUUUUUUAAAAUAGUCCAUGAAGGAAUUUUUUUAAGAUUCUUGUUGUUAAAUGUUGAUGGAGAUGAUAUGAAGAUGAAAAAGAGGAGAAGAAGAUGAAGAAAAUCUAACUUUUAUGAAUUAAAACUGACGGAACCAAAAUGUGUAACGGAGAGAAGUUAAUGAACCAAAAUAAAUCGAAUUUUAAUUAAAGUACCAAAGCGAUACUACCUAAAUAGUUCAGGGAAAAAAAAAUAUAAUUUCGCUUAUUAAAAACAUAUAAAGUAUUAAUGAACCCCUCAAUGGAAUUGCCAAGUUCACUUUUACUUCAAAUUAGGAUCUCCCUAAAAGUCAAUCGCCCAUCAAAUAUGCCAACGUUUAUAUAUCUUAAUUCCAAUUGUACAAAUUUGAAGUCAACUUAUAUUAUAUAAUUUGCCUGAAUCAUUUUUUUUAUUUACAAAAUAAAUUGUCUAAAUUAUUUUUGAAAGGAAAUUGUCUAAAUUAUUGUUUACUGUUGUUUAUUCCACAAGUUAUAAAUCACUGUACAACAUGUUAAUAUUUCUUUUUCCUUCAUACACAUUAUAUUUACCACAUUCUCUUCUUUCAAUUAAUUAUUUUAAUUUAUUUUUUCAUGUUACUAAUCAAGGGUAAUUUUAAUCUAUAAAAAUAAAAUAAAAAAUACUCCUUUGAAUCUUUAAAUAACUGAGUUAUUUGUAAAAAAAACAAUUGUCAUAUAGCAACUGGUCAAAUGAAUCUCAGAUAACUCUGAUACUACCUCCAUUCCUAAAUAUACGAGCCUUUUGCAAAAAUUACGAAGAUUAAGAAAAUUGAUUGUAGUAUUAAAUUUGUAUAUAAUUACUAUUGUUUUUACAAUUUUAUCUUUAAGAGAAAGAAUUAAUUCAUGUUUUCAACAUAAUAUUUAUCGUUGAUUGAAGAAAAAGAUGUAAAAUAAAUAAAGAUAUGUUGGUAAAGAAAUAAUAAAUAUACUUAGAAAUACCAAAGGGAUCUUAUAAAAUGGGAGAAUUUUUUUCUCGUCUUAUAAAAAGGAAUGGAGGUAGUAUCAUAAUAGAAUUUUGAGUUGGGCAAAAUGAUGUUAUUAGUUUGAAGUAUCCACCAAUAAUUAAUUUUCGCUGUGAAAGAAUAUGAUCAACUAUUUUUAAAGGAGUUUCAUAUCUUCAUUAAGCAUAUUUUUUUUCCAUCUACAAGACAAUCACUUACACCGACGCAUUUUUUUUUAGGAAAUGUUAACGAGUGUUCUUUGGAUAUUUUUUAAGUACUUUAAGUUUUUAUGAAAAGUUGUGUAUUCAAUGCAUUGAAAAUUGUAAUAGUUGACAUUUUUUAAAAAUAAUUACUAAAAUUAGGAUCCUUAAAGAGUGUCUCUGGAACACUCGUUAACAAGACUUUUUUAUAUCAUAAAUAGGUGGUUCUCCUCGUAUAACUUUGGAGUUAAAACCCUCUGUGUGAACAAAAUUUCAAACUUAAGAGACCACUAAUUACAUGUUUGGAUGAACGGUCGGAUUAAAAAAUUACGAUCAACCAUUGUGAAGCUACAAAGUUUCACUUUUGCUUAAAAUAUGGUGGUUGCAAUGCAAUUAGUUAUCUAAAAGAGAUCUAAAUCAUAUUAUUCAAAGACUUUUCUAUUUUUUUUUAGGGGAAAGACUUUUAGAUUUUAUGAAUUAUAAUAUUUUCAACUUUUAUACGCCACUUUCACGUUAUACGCUUUAUUUGGAGGCUAAUAUACACGUCUUUCCUUAUUUAUUUAUUUUUGGUGACCUUUGGCUUCUCCUUCUCCUUUUGAUGUCAACUAUGAUACUAUUUGUUUAAUAAAAUCAUGAAGACAUAUUAUAGCCUUGCAUUCCUGAUGGCAAAUUUAACUAGCAUUUCUUUUACUCUUGCAAUUAUAACUUUGAUAUUGUUUAUCUCUAGUAACUAAUUAUAGUAGAUAUCUCCUUUUUUUUUUUUUGGAGAAAAGGCAUAUCUCGUCUAUAUAUAGUAUAUUGCAUACUUAAAAAUUAUUUAUUCCUCUUUUAACAAAUAAAGAUGAUCUAUAUUUUGGGCUCUAAGGUAGAUUUUUCGUGAAAUAGUGGAUUUUAUCAAUAAAAUGAAGAAGGAAAAAAAAAGUUAUUUUAAUAAAAAUGAUGUCAUUUUUUGAAGUCAAUGUUAGUCAGGGAGUACCAAAAACAAAAAGGAGAUACCCAAGAUUUGUUAAAAAUCAAAAGGAAUUUUUUUUGAAGAUUUUGCCAAUUUUUUUUAGUAAGUGCAGACAAUUUUUAAUUAUUUAUUAAGUUUUUAUAAUAGAUAUAAGUCAUCCUUACAUGAUCAAAUUGUAAAAUAAGGGAUACCACACUUGAUAAGCUCUAUUAACAAUAUUUUUAUCCUAAGCUUGAGUUUUUCUCAAGAAUCAUACACAAUUUAAUUGUGGAGAAGUGGGAUGUCCGAAGUUUGAACCUUAACCCCUGCAUAUAAUAUGUAAUAUCGUUACCAAUUGAGCUAAACUCACGGGGAUUCUCAAAAAUCAUUAUUAUGUUCGCAUAUUAAUUAGCACACAUUGUAAUAAUAAUAUUCACACAUUGACAAAUCAUAUUUUUGUAAAGUCAAAGAAUGACCGAGUUACGUAAUCUAUUAUUUUUCUAAAUAUUAAUUGGUCAAAUUAUUCAGGUCACCUAAACCAUUAUCUCCUUUAUACUUUAACAAUUUAAUAUUUCUUGAGAUCCCUUAUAAAUUCCACUACAUAGCAUUCCCAAUAGACUCGUUAAAUAUACAUCCUCUUUUCUUUGUUAAAACCUACAAUAUUAUGAAAUUCCUUUCGUUAAUAUUAUCUCCCAUUUUAGGGUUACUUUUCCUCUCAUGCUUAGCUUCAGCAACAAAUUCACAUCAAAACACAUUUAUCCAUUGCCUAGUGAACCAUUCACAACCAUCACACCCAAUAACUUCAUCAAUCUUCACACCAAACAAUUCAUCAUUCUCUUCAGUCUUAAAUGACUACGUAAGAAACCUUCGUUUCAACACAUCAACAACAAGAAAACCCUACCUUAUAAUAACAGCAUUACAUGUUUCCCACAUACAAGCAUCAAUCAUUUGUGCUAAACAACACAACUUGCAAAUGAAAAUUAGAAGUGGUGGACAUGACUAUGAGGGUGUUUCCUAUGUAGCUGAAGUUCCAUUUUUUAUCUUAGAUAUGUUCAAUCUAAGAUCAAUUCAAGUUGAUGUAGAAAAUGAAACAGCUUGGGUUCAAACUGGGGCGCAACUCGGUGAACUUUACUAUAGAAUUAAUGAAAAAAGUAAAGUUCAUGGUUUUCCGGCCGGCGUUUGUCCUACCGUUGGUGUUGGAGGACAUUUAAGUGGUGGUGGAUAUGGUAACAUGAUGAGAAAAUAUGGUCUUUCAGUUGAUAAUAUUAUCGAUGCACAAAUAAUCGAUGUUAAUGGUAGAUUGCUUGAUAGAAAAUCAAUGGGAGAAGAUCUUUUUUGGGCUAUUAAAGGUGGUGGUGGAGCUAGCUUUGGUGUUGUUCUUUCUUACAAAAUCAAGUUAGUUAAAGUUCAUAAAAUAGUAACUGUUUUUCAAAUUAGAAAAACUUUGGAACAAAAUGCAAGUGACAUAGUUUAUAAUUGGCAACAUGUAGCACCAACUAUUGAUAAUGACCUAUUCAUUAGGCUUAUUAUUGAUGUUGUAAAUGUUACACAAAAUGGUACAAAAAAUGGUGCAAAGACUAUUAGGGCUACUUUUAUAUCUUUAUUCCUUGGUGAUUCAAAAACUCUUGUUUCACUAAUGAAUGAAAAAUUUCCUCAAUUAGGUUUGAAGGAAAGUGAUUGCAUUGAAACAAGUUGGC
rnacentral:lncRNA from 1 species